GUGGCAGCCGCGCCGCUCCGGUCGCCGACGCUCCUCAGGGCCCCGCGGAGCCCCCUUGGCAGGACCACGCGGGCUGUGGUAUCCCCGGUGACCAAGGCCAUCUUCGUGGCUCUGUUCCUCUUGGCUGUGCUGCUCAUCCUCUACGUGAUCCUGUGGUACAUUUGCCGGGACGUGGACAACGACUACAUCUGAAGCAGUUUGCCGGGGUUGAUUUGGGAGCCGAAGCCUGCAGCCGACACUUCACUGCCACCUUGGCAACUCUAGGUAAGGCACUAAGUCUGUAAAUAAUUUUGGGUUUGUUUUUUCCUUUUUUGGCUGCCCUGCGCGUUUGGAGUUCCCAGGUCAGGGAU
rnacentral:lncRNA from 1 species